rnacentral:rRNA from 1 species
UACAGAGGGUGCGAGCGUUAAUCGGAAUUACUGGGCGUAAAGCGUGCGCAGGCGGUUAUGCAAGACAGAUGUGAAAUCCCCGGGCUCAACCUGGGAACUGCAUUGUGACUGCAUAGCUGGAGUGCGGCAGAGGGGGAUGGAAUUCCGCGUGUAGCAGUGAAAUGCGUAGAUAUGCGGAGGAACACCGAUGGCGAAGGCAAUCCCCUGGGCCUGCACUGACGCUCAUGCACGAAAGCGUGGGGAGCAAACAGG